rnacentral:rRNA from 1 species
AAAGGAAGAAGAUCUAAGAAUGCUUCUUUAAGAAGCUUUCUUGAUGGAGGGGAGUGGCAGACGGGUGAGUAACGCGUGGGAACAUACCCUUUUCUACGGAAUAGCUCUGGGAAACUGGAAUUAAUACCGUAUACGCCCUACGGGGGAAAGAUUGAUCGGGGAAGGAUUGGCCCGCGUUGGAUUAGCUAGUUGGUGGGGUACAGGCCGCCCAAGGGGACGAUCCAUAGCUGGUCUGAGAGGAUGAUCAGCCACAUUGGGACUGGUACACGGCCCAAACUCCUACGGGAGGCAGCAGUGGGGAAUAUUGGACAAUGGGCGCAAGCCUGAUCCAGCCAUGCCGCGUGAGUGAUGAAGGCCUUAGGGUUGUAAAGCUCUUUCACCGAUGAAGAUAAUGACGGUAGUCGGAGAAGAAGCCCCGGCUAACUUCGUGCCAGCCGCCGCAGUAA